GUUGAGUCAGGGCCGUAUUAGCGGCGCACCCUAUAGCUUCUGUGCGCGGCGAGGCUCAUCUUCGCACCAGUGCGCUACGGAAGCUAAGAGGGGAUGUUAGAGAGCUUCGUCAUGCGAGUGCUGCCGCUAAUUGUGCUUACUGUGUUUAAACAGGUAUGUUAAUUACUUCAACAUUUCAUAUGUGAAUGCAUUUGUAUGAAACCCACUAUACGAACGCCAUGUUUUACCCAUUGUGAGUUGUUGUACUUGUGUUUUUUUUCUUUUCUCUUACCUAGGUUUAGAUGUUUAAUUUAAUGUUAUCGUUAGCAGCUUGCUCCGUUAUUAGGCAGGUUGAAAUAUUUAAUAGUCUGAACUACUGUGUGUAGUUUCACCUUUAUUAUUCAUAUAUUUAAUUGUAAUUAUUUUUUUUUUGUAACGCGGCGAGGCUCAUUUUCGCGCCAGUGCGCUACGGAAGCUAAGAGGGGAUGUUAGAGAGCUUCGUCAUGCGAGUGCUGCCGCUAAUUGUGCUUACUGUGUUUAAACAGACUGAAUAAAACGUCCACAAUUCAGACUCCUGUGUACCGUGCAAUCGAUACCGGCCGAAGUCUGCUACACACGCAUAUGAGGAAUUCAAGCCAAUAAUAAUGAAAAAAAGCAAUACGGCUGCAUCGGCUAAAGAAAGAGAGUUGGCUUGGCA